AUGAACGCUGGCGGCGUGCCUAACACAUGCAAGUCGAACGAAGCGCCUGGCCCCGACUUCUUCGGAACGAGGAGCCUUGCGACUGAGUGGCGGACGGGUGAGUAACGCGUGGGCAACCUGCCUUGCACUGGGGGAUAACAGCCAGAAAUGGCUGCUAAUACCGCAUAAGACCGAAGCGCCGCAUGGCGCGGCGGCCAAAGCCCCGGCGGUGCAAGAUGGGCCCGCGUCUGAUUAGGUAGUUGGCGGGGUAACGGCCCACCAAGCCGACGAUCAGUAGCCGACCUGAGAGGGUGACCGGCCACAUUGGGACUGAGACACGGCCCAGACUCCUACGGGAGGCAGCAGUGGGGAAUAUUGCACAAUGGGGGAAACCCUGAUGCAGCGACGCCGCGUGAAGGAUGAAGUAUUUCGGUAUGUAAACUUCUAUCAGCAGGGAAGAAGAUGACGGUACCUGACUAAGAAGCCCCGGCUAACUACGUGCCAGCAGCCGCGGUAAUACGUAGGGGGCAAGCGUUAUCCGGAUUUACUGGGUGUAAAGGGAGCGUAGACGGCGAUGCAAGCCAGAUGUGAAAGCCCGGGGCUCAACCCCCGGGACUGCAUUUGGAACUGCGUGGCUGGAGUGUCGGAGAGGCAGGCGGAAUUCCUAGUGUAGCGGGGAAAUGCGUAGAUAUUAAGGAGGAACACCAGUGGCGAAGGCGGCCUGCUGGACGAUGACUGACGUUGAAGCUCGAAAGCGUGGGAAGCAAACAGGAU
rnacentral:rRNA from 1 species